AUGGCCGGGUAGCGUGUGAAUUAAUUCCAGGACUUCGUUUCUGAUCGAACUAUGAUAAACUGUGCAUUUCCUGCUGCUACUGCACUUGUCAACACGUGAUCUGUGCAGAUACAUUUGUAUAUUGCCCAAUUACUUGUAAGGUCUGGAGCUGUCUCAAUUUUACUAGCAAGCCUGGUGUACACAAAUAAUGAGAGCAUUGGCUUAUGGAUGAUUCUGCCUAAUAUAUGACAUCAAAGGUACAUCAGCUUUAGGACUUUAUUUAUAUGGAUAUUUGUGGUGUGACCAAUACUAGAAGAUAAAUGCCAUCCCCUGCCACCAGAGACAGCAGAUUUAGGCAUCUUUUCCCUAUAGCUACCCCUCCCACUAUUCUGUCAUUGAUUAAAAUUAUAUAACU